rnacentral:lncRNA from 1 species
AGGACAUACCUUUUCCUGGUAUUCAAAGUAUUUAUACAGACUGAUAUCUAACUAAAUGAGAGAGUCUAGAUUCAACUCCGAAUUCUGCCUGACUCCAUCUCUGCUCUUUGCACUGCAACCCUGCAAUUCACAUUGUCCCAUGCUUGUAAUAUAAUUUCACUUAGAUUGCAGCUUAGAUCUUAAGAAUAAAAUUGUAUAUUUAGGUAACUAUAAGAACAUGAAGAAAAUUCUAGAAAAAAUUUAAAAUAAUAUCUUAAGAUGUAUAAACUUAGAAAUCUCAGUGUGUGAUAUUUAAAUUGGGAACAGAUGGUACAUAUAUGUUAAUAAGUUUUAAAUACUGCAUACACAGUGUUACUGAAAUUACUAAGGAAAUGUGCCAGAUUAAUCUUUGACUUAUGAGAUAGGAGGAUAAGAGGUCUUAGGAAGUCAAUGAGUAGAAAAGUGAACUAUAGGAAACUCAAACCUUUUAAAACCAGUUUGGAGGACAUACUAAGAAAAAUUUAUGAAACUGUAUUUUAGGAGGAAGCCUACAUUCUGAUUUGAAAAAGAACAUUUGGGUACAAUGCUUGAAGAUCUCGAUGUUUAUCUGCAUUCAAAAAAUGUCCUUAUGUUUUAAAAACAAGUGAUUUAAACAUCGAAAUGCAUAGCUAAAUUAAAUAAGUAAAUGUGAAAAUAAGUAAAUAAGAAAAUAUGAAAAUGGUUCUAUGUUUCCUCUGGGAAAAUGAUUAUUAAUUCUCUAUAAAAGAGGUAAUAACAUGGCCAAAUUCAACCUGUUAUUGAAGCAUUAAGAAAACUAGCAGGUGUGUCAGAAACAGAGGAGAAUGAUUUAAAUGUUAUAUACAGGUAGAUUGUUCCUUUUAUCAAUGAAAAUAAAACCCCAAUGUAUUAUAAUGUCUAAUUUAACAGUAUAUAAGUACUACAUAAAUGACAAAUCAUGAGUAUUUCUAGUCUGUUACUUAACAAAACAAAAGGAUCUAAGUGAAAUUCUUGAAAUACAUACCUCUUGCCAUGGCUUUGGGAAAAAAUAGCAUUUUAAGCCCUACUGAUUAUUAACAAGUUGUGUUUCUUUCAAUUAUGAUAAGAAUAAAGUAUUUUGAGAACAUUUAAGUUACAUGGUAUUAUGUAUGAUCAUGAUAAACAUGCUAUUUUAUUCUCACUUUGCUCCCCUCUUUAUAUUCACUAUUAUUAUUUAGAAUUCCAUGUUAAAAAGCCAACCGUAUCUUAUUGAAGAACCAAUCAUUGACCUUAAACCGGUAAGCCUCAUCCCUAGAUCUCUCCUGGUUCCUCCUCUAUAAGAGAAUGGGAUAUGCAAAGAGCCUAAAUUAGGGUUUCUGUUUCUGCCAAGAUGGGGGAUUUGAUAGCAUCAAAACUCUUCCCAUUAAGGUACAGUUAAAUUUUUCAUAAAAUAAAAUGUAUUGUUACUGGGAGUUUACAAAGUAGGGUGAACCUCUUAAGGACAAGCAAAUAAAUAGAAUUAAGAGCAACAAACAUCUUGAAUAUAAAUGAUAUUAUUUAUAUAAUAGGGGAAUUUAUUUUUGUGCCAGCAGCAAGGUAGGGGGAGCCGACCUGAAACAGUAUUGAAACUUGAUAGCCUUCUUGAUUGAAAUGUAUGAGUUAAAUAAUUUUGCUUUAUGAAUAUAACACAUUUAUAAGACAGAUUUUCCAAGUUUCUUGGAUUUGUCUCUGAGAUCUUUAUUCUCUUCUAUCAGCCUUUUUAUUCUUUGAUAUGACAUUUUGAAGUCAUAUUUUCAUUUGAAGUAUUUUUUCAUGAUUUGCAUCUGCAUAUCCAAAGGUAAUACUCAAAGAUACACUCAUGUGAGAUUCUAAUACUCAGUGAUAAUGUGUCCAGUCUCCAAAAUUAAUAUUGACUCUCCUGGGCAAAUCCCUCUGUGUGAUUCAGGAAAGUAUAAUUAACACAGUAAUUUAUUAUGCAGAUAACCAUCUAAAUGCCAAAACCUUUUUUAAUUCAUCUCAUUCCAUCUGACUUUUAAAUCAGAAGAGACAUAUGGCUCUAAAUGUAUACUAAACACCAUAAAAUGAGAACUCCAUAAAAUGAGAAGCAUUCUAUAUCAGAAACAUUUUAACUCUUGUGAAAACAUGUGUCACUGUUGGUGAGGAACCAAAGACAAGGUUAAGAUUUUAAUUUUAUUAUUUUGAUCAAUUAGAAUUUUGUCUAAGCAUUGAAUUAGUUCAGACAUAAUUACUCACUCUCAAAACAUUUUUAGAAUUGGAAAAAGACAGGAAAUAUCUCCUGAUAAAUGUCACAGUACUAAUCACGACUCUUCCCUCCCUCGUCCCAUCUUACUGCAGGUGUCGGUCCAUACUGUUAGCUCAGCCUCUGCAGUUUCACACCCAGUUCUGAGUAUGCCUGGUGAUAAGUUAGGCCUGGUAUAUAUCUUGCUUACAGUGAGGCAUCUGGAGGGUCACCAGUGUUCUAAUUUUGGCUAUGUUAAAAUACUCUUAUGACAUUUGUUAAAAUGUUAAGGCUGACUUUAUUCAUGGAAAUCAUUAUGGUUGCUAAGGGGGUUUUGCAGGAGGGGAAAAGAUUGGGUUCAACUCAAAGCUCCUUCCUCAACAGGAAAAAUUAGGAGUUUAUAUUCAUGGAGCAGGUUGUGAGGGUGAGAGUGGCGAGAUUCCCCGAUGGCUGAUAGAUGGAAAGUUACUAAGAGGAAGCAUCAAGGGUGAGCAGGUAUUCUGUCUGACCUGACCUAACAGGAUUCUUCUAAAGGCAGGUCAGAGGGCUCAGACAUUCGCUGUUGCACCUGAAAAAAAAAAAAAUGUACAGACUAAAAGUUGAGAAUUAUUUGGGAGUUCCAGUCGUGGCGCAGUGGUUAACGAAUCCGACUAGGAACCAUGAGGUUGCGGGUUCGGUCCCUGCCCUUGCUCAGUGGGUUAACGAUCCGGCGUUGCCGUGAGCUGUGGUGUAGGUUGCAGACG